rnacentral:tRNA from 1 species
UUAUGCUUUAGUAUAUGAUGUACUUUAAUUUUUGAUAUUAAAAGGAAUAGUUUAAUUCUAUUAAGCGUAAU